rnacentral:rRNA from 1 species
GACGAACGCUGGCGGCGUGCUUAACACAUGCAAGUCGAACGGAAAGGCCCUGCUUUUGUGGGGUGCUCGAGUGGCGAACGGGUGAGUAACACGUGAGUAACCUGCCCUUGACUUUGGGAUAACUUCAGGAAACUGGGGCUAAUACCGGAUAGGAGCUCCUGCUGCAUGGUGGGGGUUGGAAAGUUUCGGCGGUUGGGGAUGGACUCGCGGCUUAUCAGCUUGUUGGUGGGGUAGUGGCUUACCAAGGCUUUGACGGGUAGCCGGCCUGAGAGGGUGACCGGCCAAAUGGGGACGGAGAUAGGGCCCAGACCCCUACGGGGGGCAGGGGGGGGGAAUAUGGCACAAGGGGCGGAAGCAUGGGCAAGCAACGCCGGGGGGGGGAGGACGGCCUUGGGGUGGAAACCCGCUUUCCCCUGGGACGAAGCGGGGGGGACGGGAAUGGGGAAAGAAGCACCGGCUAACUACGG